ACCUUACNGGUCUUGACAUACCAUGAAAAGCUUAGAGAUNAGUCUUUCCCUUCGGGGACAUGGAUACAGGUGGUGCAUGGUUGUCGUCAGCUCGUGUCGUGAGAUGUUGGGUUAAGUCCCGCAACGAGCGCAACCCUUAUUAUCAGUUGCCAGCAUUCAGUUGGGCACUCUGGUGAGACUGCCGGUGAUAAACCGGAGGAAGGUGGGGACGACGUCAAAUCAUCAUGCCCCUUAUGACCUGGGCUACACACGUGCUACAAUGGUCGGUACAACGUGCUGCGAACUCGCGAGGGCAAGCAAAUCACUUAAAACCGAUCUCAGUUCGGAUUGUAGGCUGCAACUCGCCUACAUGAAGCUGGAAUCGCUAGUAAUCGCGGAUCAGCAUGCCGCGGUGAAUACGUUCCCGGGCCUUGCACACACCGCCCGU
rnacentral:rRNA from 1 species